GGGCCUGUGGCGCAGCUGGGAGCGCGCUUCCAGGGCAUGCAUGGCAUGGAAGAGGUCGUCGGUUCGAUCCCGACCAGGUCCACCA
rnacentral:tRNA from 1 species